rnacentral:rRNA from 1 species
UACGUAGGGGGCAAGCGUUGUCCGGAUUUAUUGGGCGUAAAGAGCGUGUAGGCGGCUUGUCACGUCGGGUGUGAAAGCCCGGGGCUUAACCCCGGGUCUGCAUUCGAUACGGGCAGGCUAGAGUGUGGUAGGGGAGAUCGGAAUUCCUGGUGUAGCGGUGAAAUGCGCAGAUAUCAGGAGGAACACCGGUGGCGAAGGCGGAUCUCUGGGCCAUUACUGACGCUGAGGAGCGAAAGCGUGGGGAGCGAACAGG